rnacentral:misc_RNA from 1 species
UCAAACUUGGUCAUUUAGAGGAAGUAAAAGUCGUAACAAGGUCUCCGUUGGUGAACCAGCGGAGGGAUCAUUACAGAGUUGCAAAACUCCCAAACCCACUGUGAACAUACCUUAUCUUGUUCCUUCGGCAGGCGGCCCCCGGGGGGGCUUCGCCGGCAACGGCGCCUGCCGAGGGAGACACAAACUCUAUUGUAUCAGUAUAUCUCUGAGCAAUUUAAAAACAAUCACAACUUUCAACAACGGAUCUCUUGGUUCUGGCAUCGAUGAAGAACGCAGC